GGGAACUGAAACAUCUAAGUACCCCGAGGAAAAGAAAUCAACCGAGAUUCCCCCAGUAGCGGCGAGCGAACGGGGAGGAGCCCAGAGCCUGAAUCAGCAUGUGUGUUAGUGGAAGCGUCUGGAAAGGCGCGCGAUACAGGGUGACAGCCCCGUACACAAAAGCGCAUGUGCUGUGAGCUCGAUGAGUAGGGCGGGACACGUGGUAUCCUGUCUGAAUAUGGGGGGACCAUCCUCCAAGGCUAAAUACUCCUGACUGACCGAUAGUGAACCAGUACCGUGAGGGAAAGGCGAAAAGAACCCCGGCGAGGGGAGUGAAAAAGAACCUGAAACCGUGUACGUACAAGCAGUGGGAGCACAGGUUUACCUGUGUGACUGCGUACCUUUUGUAUAAUGGGUCAGCGACUUAUAUUCUGUAGCAAGGUUAACCGUAUAGGGGAGCCGGAGGGAAACCGAGUCUUAACCGGGCGUUAAGUUGCAGGGUAUAGACCCGAAACCCGGUGAUCUAGCCAUGGGCAGGUUGAAGGUUGGGUAACACUAACUGGAGGACCGAACCGACUAAUGUUGAAAAAUUAGCGGAUGACCUGUGGCU
rnacentral:rRNA from 1 species